GAUGAACGCUGACAGAAUGCUUAACACAUGCAAGUCUUUGGCGAAGCUGUGCUUGCACAGCCUAGCCAAGGCGGACGGGUGAGUAACGCGUAAGGAACUUGCCCUGCAGUCAGGGAUAACAGACGGAAACGACUGAUAAGACCUGGUAAAGUCAGGCGGACUCAUGUCCAGCCUGAUGAAAAGAGAUGCUGCUGGAGAGCCUUGCGUCCUAUUAGCUUGUUGGUGGGGUAACGGCCCACCAAGGCGAUGAUAGGUAGCCGGCCUGAGAGGGUGGACGGCCACAAGGGGACUGAGAGACGGCCCUUACUCCUACGGGAGGCAGCAGUGGGGAAUAUUGGACAAAGGGGGCAACCCUGAUCCAGCAAUUCUGUGUGCACGAUGAAGGUUUUCGGAUUGUAAAGUGCUUUCAGCAGGGAAGAAAAAAAUGACGGUACCUGCAGAAGAAGCGACGGCUAAAUACGUG
rnacentral:rRNA from 1 species